UGUGGAUGUAGAAAAGCUUCUGGGUAUGAAAAAAGUUUAUGAAAAAAAAAUUUUUCGCAUGAAGAAUAAGAGGGUGCAGAGAAAGGAGGCAUAAGAGAUUUGAAUUCGAAUUAUUUUCUCAUCCAAUUGGAUUCUUAACCCAACCAAAUUAGAUAAGACCUAAUUGGACUAUUAAAUCUAAUCUAAUUAGAUAGCAAAUAGUUUUGAUUAAAUCUUAAUUAAAUCAAAAAUUAAUUGAGCUCACGUCCUGAUCAAAUCAGGAAUUAAACACCCUUAGCGAUUAGGUCAUUUCAUAACCUAAUC
rnacentral:lncRNA from 1 species